rnacentral:tRNA from 1 species
UACAUCUUGGUGUAUGGCGCACUGUGGUUUUUGAUACUGGUAGGUAUAGUUUAAUUCUAUUAGAUGUAA